GACGAACGCUGGCGGCGUGCUUAACACAUGCAAGUCGAACGGAAAGGCCUGCUUUCCCUUGUGGAUUGCGGGUACUCGAGUGGCGAACGGGUGAGUAACACGUGAGUGAUCUGCCCCCAACUUGGGUAUAAGCCUGGGAAACUGGGUCUAAUUCCCGAUAGGACUGCAGGGUGGUGCCUGUGGUGGAAAACGAUUUUCUAGUGGUUGGGGAUGAGCUCGCGGCCUAUCAGCUUGUUGGUGGGGUAAUGGCCUACCAAGGCGGCGACGGGUAGCCGGCCAGGGAGGGUGGACGGCCAAAUUGGGACUGAGAUACGGCCCAGACUCCUACGGGAGGAAGCAGUCGGGAAGAUUGAACGAUGGGCGGAAGCCUGAUGCCGCGACGCCGAGUGGGGGAUGACGGCCUUCGGGUUGUGACCUCCUUUCGACCGCGAGGAAGCCACCUGGUUGGAAGGGUGGUGACGGUAGUGGUAGAAGAAGCACCGGCUAACUACGUG
rnacentral:rRNA from 1 species